UACGAGGGGGGCAAAUGUUGUUCGGAAUUACUGGGCGUAAAGGGCUCGUAGGCGGCCCUCUCAGUCGGAUGUGAAAUCCCCAGGCUUAACCUGGGAACGGCAUCCGAUACUGGAGGGCUUGAAUUCGGGAGAGGGAUGCAGAAUUCCAGGUGUAGCGGUGAAAUGCGUAGAUAUCUGGAGGAAUACCGGUGGCGAAGGCGGCAUCCUGGACCGAGAUUGACGCUGAGGAGCGAAAGCUAGGGGAGCAAACGGG
rnacentral:rRNA from 1 species